AAAUAGGGGGUCCAUAAUUAAUGGGGGUCCCCAAGAAUGGGGUCCCCAAAUAUGGGGGGUCCGGUAAUGGGGUCCCCAAAUUUGGGGGGCAGAAGUGGGGGCAAUCCCAGAGAAUGGAGAACCCAACGAGUGGAGAACCCAAAGAGAGGAGAACCCCAAUAAUGGGGGGCUGCAAAGUUGGGGUCCCCAAAAAUGGGGGUCCAUAAUUAAUGGGGGUCCCCAAGAAUGGGGUCCCCAAAUAUGGGGGAGGUCCGCUAAUGGGGUCCCCAAAUUUGGGGGUCCUUAAAGGGACAGUGCAGCACUUUGGGGCCUUCAAAGCUCAGAGUUCUUAAAGUGACAGAGCACCAUUUUGGGGUCCCUCAAAGUUGGGGUUCUUAAAGAGACAGAGCACCAUUUUGGGGUCGAGCGAAAUUUGGGGACCCAUAGGAUCUAUGGGGCGGAUGUGGGGCUGCCCCACAAGUGUGGGGUUCCCAAAUUUGGGGGUCCUUAAAGGCACAGUGAAGCACUUU
rnacentral:lncRNA from 1 species